rnacentral:rRNA from 1 species
GACGGAGGUGCCAAGCGUUAGGCGGAAUCACUGGGCUUAAAGCGUGUGUAGGCGGGUCGGUAAGUACCUUGUGAAAUCCCACGGCUCAACCGUGGAACUGCUUGGUAUACUGGCGAUCUUGAGCCAGCUAGGGGCUACCGGAACAAACGGUGGAGCGGUGAAAUGCGUAGAUAUCGUUUGGAACGCCAAUGGUGAAAACAGGUAGCUGGGGCUGUGCUGACGCUGAGACACGAAAGCCAGGGGAGCGAACGGG